AGGUCUAGAGCUAGUGAACCACAGCAGAAUUCUUAUUAUUCAGUGCACCGAAGAAAAAAGAGACCCGAGGUUAUUAGAGAAGAAUCCCAGCAGUUUUGUGUGUAUAACUGCUUGGGAAAAACAAAUAGGAUAUUAUGACAAUGUAAAGGAGUUGGAGAAUUGAAAUCACAUGGUUACUGGUCACAUUUCUAUAAAACUGAUGCAAUACAGAAUCACUUACAGGAGAAAUUUUACUUUUGCCAUAACCCAGACAGCUCUAGGUUUAAGAACGCUUAUCAGGGUGGAAGGCUAAAGGGGUUAAGGAAAUAAGGCAUGACAGAGGUGACCUAUGGGAACUUUCAUUAUUAUAUGGAGCCUUGAUGAGUGAAAUGAGAGGAAUUGCUCUCUAUCAUGAAAGGCUGAAAUGUCGAGGGAGCAAUUGCAAAUUAAUCUAUUAAGAAUAAGUAGGAGGCUGAACAGUGUGACUCAAAAGGAUGGAAAUAUAUGGAAUAAACUGCAGUGUAAAUUCACAAUGAUUUCUAGACCCAAUCUUAAAGGCAUCCAUCUAUGGUUUUUAUAAUGAAACAGGGAUUUCGAUAUGUGCGUAUAUGAGAGUCAAAGUUUAAGCAGAUUAAAUUGGUCUCUUUCUUUUCAGGUACUCCCAAUAUUUGUAAUGACCAGGCCUGAAUGAGAAUGAUUUGUGUGGCUUAAACCAGAAAAAUGUGUCAGAAAUUUUUCUGGGGUUUUUUUUUUUUUUUUCAAGACAUACAAAUAAAAUGCCUUACGGGCAUUUUUCUGUGUGGUGGUUUUCCUAUUUUGCUGUGACAUUUUUAACCCGAAUUUAGUGUUUGUAAAAGGUACUAUGUGAUGACAUUGUAUAACUGAAAGCCUCUUUUUAUUGACAGGUCAUGAACACUCAAGGCUGGAGAAAUUUCUCUGUGUCAGACUGCAGAGGUACACCCCCCACAGCCUGAAGGAACGAACUUCCAGGAGGACAAAUGCUAGGAACAGUGCCUUGGCAAGCACCUCGACCAACAGGCACUCCACACUUCAUCAGGCAGUUUUCCUCAGGGAUUCUGAGAAGAUUCAAACAGAACUUUGCUGAACACAUCUAGCUGCAGAUCUGUAUAUUACUGCAGAAAUAUCCCGCUGGGAAAAGGCUGCAUAAGUUUCUGGCCAUCAUGUAAAUCCCACACUGAAGACUCACUUGGGAAGAAGAAAAGACACAAAAUGUGCUGGC